AAGGAUAUAUUCGGAACAUCUUCUACGAAGAUGAAAGGAAUAACGUGACAUAUUGUAUUCAGUUUUGAAUGUUUAUGACAUUCUUUUUAAUAAUGGGCCUAUAGCUCAGCUGGUUAGAGCGCACGCCUGAUAAGCGUGAGGUCGGUGGUUCGAGUCCACUUAGGCCCACCAUUAAUUUAAUAUUGAUACGGGGGCUUAGCUCAGCUGGGAGAGCGCCUGCUUUGCACGCAGGAGGUCAGCGGUUCGAUCCCGCUAGUCUCCACCAUGAUAUAUUGUACAUUGAAAACUAGAUAAGUAAGUAAAUUAGAUUUUACCAAGCAAAACCGAGUGAAUAGAGUUUUAAAUAAGCUUGAAUUCAUAAAAUAAUCGCUAGUGUUCGAAAGAACACUCACAGAUUAAUAACAUAUCUUAAA
rnacentral:tRNA from 1 species